rfam:Aedes albopictus isolate Foshan contig28080, whole genome shotgun sequence.
UGUUCUGUGGCUUAGUAGGUUGAAGCAUCAGUCUAGAGAAUACGGAGUCGUGGGUUCAAACCCUACCAGAAUAC